GUACCGCAACAACAAAGACCAGCUUAAAUAAGUUCAAAAAAAGGGUUCAGGAGGAUGCAACUGGAUGGAUCAUACCUAUGAGAUAUGAAAAAAGUUCACAAUCUUAAUGCAAGUAAAUCUACUGUCCUAAUACUUUUCAGGCCCUGCAAAAAAUAGGGAAUAAUCAAGUUAGUCAUGUUUUUACUGGUAAUAGUGAAAGUAAUUCCGUUUCUAGCCAUG
rnacentral:lncRNA from 1 species